CAGUCGAACGAGUUCUCGUUGAUGAUCGGUGCUUGCACUGAGAUUCAACAUGGAACGAGUGGCGGACGGGUGAGUAACACGUGGGUAACCUGCCCUUAAGUGGGGGAUAACAUUUGGAAACAGAUGCUAAUACCGCAUAGAUCCAAGAACCGCAUGGUUCUUGGCUGAAAGAUGGCGUAAGCUAUCGCUUUUGGAUGGACCCGCGGCGUAUUAGCUAGUUGGUGAGGUAAUGGCUCACCAAGGCGAUGAUACGUAGCCGAACUGAGAGGUUGAUCGGCCACAUUGGGACUGAGACACGGCCCAAACUCCUACGGGAGGCAGCAGUAGGGAAUCUUCCACAAUGGACGCAAGUCUGAUGGAGCAACGCCGCGUGAGUGAAGAAGGCUUUCGGGUCGUAAAACUCUGUUGUUGGAGAAGAAUGGUCGGCAGAGUAACUGUUGUCGGCGUGACGGUAUCCAACCAGAAAGCCACGGCUAACUACGUGCCAGCAGCCGCGGUAAUACGUAGGUGGCAAGCGUUAUCCGGAUUUAUUGGGCGUAAAGCGAGCGCAGGCGGUUUUUUAAGUCUGAUGUGAAAGCCCUCGGCUUAACCGAGGAAGCGCAUCGGAAACUGGGAAACUUGAGUGCAGAAGAGGACAGUGGAACUCCAUGUGUAGCGGUGAAAUGCGUAGAUAUAUGGAAGAACACCAGUGGCGAAGGCGGCUGUCUGGUCUGUAACUGACGCUGAGGCUCGAAAGCAUGGGUAGCGAACAGGAUUAGAUACCCUGGUAGUCCAUGCCGUANACGAUGAAUGCUAGGUGUUGGAGGGUUUCCGCCCUUCAGUGCCGCAGCUAACGCAUUAAGCAUUCCGCCUGGGGAGUACGACCGCAAGGUUGAAACUCAAAGGAAUUGACGGGGG
rnacentral:rRNA from 1 species